rnacentral:rRNA from 1 species
CCUACGGGAGGCAGCAGUGAGGAAUAUUGGUCAAUGGACGCGAGUCUGAACCAGCCAAGCAGCGUGAAGGAUGACUGCCCUAUGGGUUGUAAACUUCUUUUAUAUGGGGAUAAACUGUUACACGUGUGGGAGGUUGUAUGUAUCAUACGAAUAAGGAUCGGCUAACUCCGUGCCAGCAGCCGCGGUAAUACGGAGGAUCCGAGCGUUAUCCGGAUUUAUUGGGUUUAAAGGGUGCGUAGGGGGUUUGAUAAGUUAGGUGUGAAAGGUUGGGGCUCAACCGUGAAAUUGCCGUUAAUACUGGCAGUCUAGAGAACAGUUGAGGUAGGCGGAAUGUGUGGUGUAGCGGUGAAAUGCUUAGAGAUCACACAGAACACCGAUUGCGAAGGCAGCUCACCGAACUACAUCUGACGUUGAGGCACGAAAGUGUGGGUAUCAAACAGGAUUAGAUACCCCGGUAGUC